UCGAUGACUUCUUGAGGAAUGUCGUGAUCUAGAGAUUGCUUUCACCAUGUCUCUCUUACAACUAAUUGGUGCUAGAGAGGGUUUUAGCUUUAGUUUUAAGAUUAUGUGAGGUCGACCUAUCAGUGUCUUUGAUGAUCUUGGGUCCAGAGCUCUUCCAACUUUCCUCAAUUCCACCAUGAAUGCUAUUGAGGGAAUCAUUGGAAUGGUUGGGCUUUCUUGAUCUAAGAAAAGGGUUAUCAAGAUACUUCACGAUGUCAAU